CAUACAUAACAUGACUUAACUUUGAUACUUUUUUGGUACAUUCCAGAAAACCAGGACCCCCUCCAUGAUGCAGGCUAUGGGGCCACAUAAAACUUUGUCCAGGGUUACUACAUAACAUAGCACGACAACUGUAAACUAUGUACUACUGUACUAAAGAACCCCCUGAAUGAUGUAGGCUAUGGGGCCACAUAAGACUUUGUCCAUCCAGGGUUACGUUGAAUGACAAAUUUAAACUAAAGAACCCCCUGAAUGAUGUAGGCUAUGGGGCCACAUAAGACUUUGUGCAUCCAGGGUUACGUUGAAAGACAAAUUUAAACUAAAAAGCUACCAGACUGGGAUUUUAGUGUACUCCAGGAUCUAACAAAUACUACUACGAAGUGUACAGUGCAUAAUAUAGUGUUUAGUGUAUAAUCUAACCUAAGGAUUAAGUGUAGUACAUUGUGCUUUAUAGUGUCA